GAUGAACGCUAGCGGGAGGCCUAACACAUGCAAGCCGAGCGGUAGAGUUUCUUCGGAAACUUGAGAGCGGCGCACGGGUGCGUAACACGUGUGCAACCUACCUUUAUCUGGGGGAUAGCCUUUCGAAAGGAAGAUUAAUACCCCAUAAUAUAAUGAUUGGCAUCAAUUAUUAUUGAAAACUCCGGCGGAUAGAGAUGGGCACGCGCAAGAUUAGAUAGUUGGUGAGGUAACGGCUCACCAAGUCAAUGAUCUUUAGGGGUCCUGAGAGGGAGAUCCCCCACACUGGUACUGAGACACGGACCAGACUCCUACGGGAGGCAGCAGUGAGGAAUAUUGGACAAUGGGUGAGAGCCUGAUCCAGCCAUCCCGCGUGAAGGAUGACGGUCCUAUGGAUUGUAAACUUCUUUUGUACAGGGAUAAACCUACCCUCGUGAGGGUAGCUGAAGGUACUGUACGAAUAAGCACCGGCUAACUCCGUG
rnacentral:rRNA from 1 species